rnacentral:rRNA from 1 species
GGUUAAGCGACUAAGCGUACACGGUGGAUGCCCUGGCAGUCAGAGGCGAUGAAGGACGUGCUAAUCUGCGAUAAGCGUCGGUAAGGUGAUAUGAACCGUUAUAACCGGCGAUUUCCGAAUGGGGAAACCCAGUGUGUUUCGACACACUAUCAUUAACUGAAUCCAUAGGUUAAUGAGGCGAACCGGGGGAACUGAAACAUCUAAGUACCCCGAGGAAAAGAAAUCAACCGAGAUUCCCCCAGUAGCGGCGAGCGAACGGGGAGCAGCCCAGAGCCUGAAUCAGUAUGUGUGUUAGUGGAAGCGUCUGGAAAGGCGCGCGAUACAGGGUGACAGCCCCGUACACAAAAAUGCACAUAUUGUGAGCUCGAUGAGUAGGGCGGGACACGUGGUAUCCUGUCUGAAUAUGGGGGACCAUCCUCCAAGGCUAAAUACUCCUGACUGACCGAUAGUGAACCAGUACCGUGAGGGAAAGGCGAAAAGAACCCCGGCGAGGGGAGUGAAAAAGAACCUGAAACCGUGUACGUACAAGCAGUGGGAGCACGCUUAGGCGUGUGACUGCGUACCUUUUGUAUAAUGGGUCAGCGACUUAUAUUCUGUAGCAAGGUUAACCGAAUAGGGGAGCCGAAGGGAAACCGAGUCUUAACUGGGCGUUAAGUUGCAGGGUAUAGACCCGAAACCCGGUGAUCUAGCCAUGGGCAGGUUGAAGGUUGGGUAACACUAACUGGAGGACCGAACCGACUAAUGUUGAAAAAUUAGCGGAUGACUUGUGGCUGGGGGUGAAAGGCCAAUCAAACCGGGAGAUAGCUGGUUCUCCCCGAAAGCUAUUUAGGUAGCGCCUCGUGAAUUCAUCUCCGGGGGUAGAGCACUGUUUCGGCAAGGGGUCAUCCCGACUUACCAACCCGAUGCAAACUGCGAAUACCGGAGAAUGUUAUCACGGGAGACACACGGCGGGUGCUAACGUCCGUCGUGAAGAGGGAAACAACCCAGACCGCCAGCUAAGGUCCCAAAGUCAUGGUUAAGUGGGAAACGAUGUGGGAAGGCCCAGACAGCCAGGAUGUUGGCUUAGAAGCAGCCAUCAUUUAAAGAAAGCGUAAUAGCUCACUGGUCGAGUCGGCCUGCGCGGAAGAUGUAACGGGGCUAAACCAUGCACCGAAGCUGCGGCAGCGACACUAUGUGUUGUUGGGUAGGGGAGCGUUCUGUAAGCCUGUGAAGGUGUGCUGUGAGGCAUGCUGGAGGUAUCAGAAGUGCGAAUGCUGACAUAAGUAACGAUAAAGCGGGUGAAAAGCCCGCUCGCCGGAAGACCAAGGGUUCCUGUCCAACGUUAAUCGGGGCAGGGUGAGUCGACCCCUAAGGCGAGGCCGAAAGGCGUAGUCGAUGGGAAACAGGUUAAUAUUCCUGUACUUGGUGUUACUGCGAAGGGGGACGGAGAAGGCUAUGUUGGCCGGGCGACGGUUGUCCCGGUUUAAGCGUGUAGGCUGGUUUUCCAGGCAAAUCCGGAAAAUCAAGGCUGAGGCGUGAUGACGAGGCACUACGGUGCUGAAGCAACAAAUGCCCUGCUUCCAGGAAAAGCCUCUAAGCAUCAGGUAACAUCAAAUCGUACCCCAAACCGACACAGGUGGUCAGGUAGAGAAUACCAAGGCGCUUGAGAGAACUCGGGUGAAGGAACUAGGCAAAAUGGUGCCGUAACUUCGGGAGAAGGCACGCUGAUAUGUAGGUGAAGUCCCUCGCGGAUGGAGCUGAAAUCAGUCGAAGAUACCAGCUGGCUGCAACUGUUUAUUAAAAACACAGCACUGUGCAAACACGAAAGUGGACGUAUACGGUGUGACGCCUGCCCGGUGCCGGAAGGUUAAUUGAUGGGGUUAGCCGCAAGGCGAAGCUCUUGAUCGAAGCCCCGGUAAACGGCGGCCGUAACUAUAACGGUCCUAAGGUAGCGAAAUUCCUUGUCGGGUAAGUUCCGACCUGCACGAAUGGCGUAAUGAUGGCCAGGCUGUCUCCACCCGAGACUCAGUGAAAUUGAACUCGCUGUGAAGAUGCAGUGUACCCGCGGCAAGACGGAAAGACCCCGUGAACCUUUACUAUAGCUUGACACUGAACAUUGAGCCUUGAUGUGUAGGAUAGGUGGGAGGCUUUGAAGUGUGGACGCCAGUCUGCAUGGAGCCGACCUUGAAAUACCACCCUUUAAUGUUUGAUGUUCUAACGUUGACCCGUAAUCCGGGUUGCGGACAGUGUCUGGUGGGUAGUUUGACUGGGGCGGUCUCCUCCUAAAGAGUAACGGAGGAGCACGAAGGUUGGCUAAUCCUGGUCGGACAUCAGGAGGUUAGUGCAAUGGCAUAAGCCAGCUUGACUGCGAGCGUGACGGCGCGAGCAGGUGCGAAAGCAGGUCAUAGUGAUCCGGUGGUUCUGAAUGGAAGGGCCAUCGCUCAACGGAUAAAAGGUACUCCGGGGAUAACAGGCUGAUACCGCCCAAGAGUUCAUAUCGACGGCGGUGUUUGGCACCUCGAUGUCGGCUCAUCACAUCCUGGGGCUGAAGUAGGUCCCAAGGGUAUGGCUGUUCGCCAUUUAAAGUGGUACGCGAGCUGGGUUUAGAACGUCGUGAGACAGUUCGGUCCCUAUCUGCCGUGGGCGCUGGAGAACUGAGGGGGGCUGCUCCUAGUACGAGAGGACCGGAGUGGACGCAUCACUGGUGUUCGGGUUGUCAUGCCAAUGGCACUGCCCGGUAGCUAAAUGCGGAAGAGAUAAGUGCUGAAAGCAUCUAAGCACGAAACUUGCCCCGAGAUGAGUUCUCCCUGACUCCUUGAGAGUCCUGAAGGAACGUUGAAGACGACGACGUUGAUAGGCCGGGUGUGUAAGCGCAGCGAUGCGUUGAGCUAACCGGUACUAAUGAACCGUGAGGCUUAACCUU